CCAAUGGUUAUGUGUAUUUGGUGUCACGUGAUCGUGAGUCAGGUCCGUGCAGCGCUGAGUGUAGACAGUGACACAACACGUUACAUACUUACGACUUGCAGUUGCCUUUUCCUUUUCCUGAGCCUUUCGUUAUCUUCAGACUUCCUUUUGGCACUUACAGGAUGAAGCCCACGUACAUGUAAUAGUGUUAUCAUCCUAUACGGUUCAUCGCCCACAGCGAAGAACCACGCGUAUGGUGUGAUCGAGAGAAUAAACCCUCGAACCCUU
rnacentral:lncRNA from 1 species